AUGAGUAGUUUUAACUAUGUACAUAGGUUGAAUAAUGGAGGACGGUCAUCUAGUACAGCGGCGGCAGUGUUUGACGAUUGUUAUUUUUUAGCAUGUGACUUUCCCAUUACUAAAUUUGAGCAUUGUAAUAGAGAAGCAAAUAGAGUCGUACAUGAACUUGCUAAGGUAGCUAGAUUUUUUUUUUCUUUGAACUGGUUUGAGGAGCCCUUGAGCAAAAUUGUACCCCUUCUCAUAAACGAUGUACUUGUUAUUGAAAAUGAAUAA
rnacentral:rRNA from 1 species